AGUUGGACCACUUGCUAAUGGAUAUCGAGGCCAGCAACCAGUUAGGACAUCAAUGGAGAACAACAGGACUACCAGUAUAUCAAAGGAUAUAUCAGCGAAAUCAAUUCCAAUAAUUUCCAGAUGUGCUAGAGGCACAUCAAGGAAAUUGGAAGGUAUCAGUCAGAACCAUUAGGAUAUCAAGGACUACACUAAACAAAUCCAUUCCAACAAUGUCGUCUCAGUCAAGGAAGAAGGCACACCAAGGAAAUAUCUUUUCUUUCCUU